AGGGAUGUAGCUCAGUGGUGCAGCACCUGCCUGGCAAGUAUGAGGCCCUGAGUUCAAUUCCCGGUACCCCCC
rfam:Fukomys damarensis contig51562, whole genome shotgun sequence.